rnacentral:sRNA from 1 species
AGAAAUAACAAUUCCAGGUUGGCGGGGUAUGUGGUGUUUCGCCAGAUUGAUAUUAUGAUAUAUCAAGGCUUUUCGAUCCGUCGAGGGAGCUAGAUAAGAUAGAUCCGUGACAGAAGCUCGUUUGGUGUGUCCAGCUUUGAGAAACUAUCUGAUUCGUUCGGCAUUUCGGCGCAGCCAAAUGGCGAGGCAUCCUGGUAAUUCAGCUUCAAGAUCCCGUUGUUCUGCUUUCAUUGUCCACUCCAUGGGUUGCUGGUAACUUGGCUAGAUCCCUUGAGCCACCGCUAUGGACUCAUCCGAGAGGUUCCGUCCUCCACGUUUUACAACAG